GGGUUGUGAGGUUAAGCGAAUAAGCGUACACGGUGGAUGCCUAGGCAAUCAGAGGCGAUGAAGGACGUG
rnacentral:rRNA from 2 species